UGUGAAACUUUGUGCAGACUGCUCCUGUA
rnacentral:piRNA from 1 species